CCUCCUCCUCACAACCUCUCAAUUGCAUUACAAAGCGGAGAUCCUUCGAACAAGCUCAGGCAAUGCUCAUGCUCACAGCGUCCACAUCCCUCACUCUUCCAAUGCUUCUCCUUCUCCUCCUCCUCCUCCUUUGUCUGAUCCAGAUCCUAUUCAUCUGAGUCUCAUCUUGUCCAAUCGCCUAAGGAAUGGGCUAGAAACGAUGCAGUUCCAGUUGAAGUUGUGAGGGUCACAACAGUGUAGUAAAAACACACACAAACACACACACACAUCAUAUCAGAUAGCACGUCUGAACUAGAUUUCAGCCUUCGAGCUGGUUUUCCGGGACUAAGCCAAGUUGUCAGAGGUAUGGGAUGGGAUGGGAGGGAGGGAGGGCUCGAAGGACGGGGUCCAUCUUGUCAGGCAGCGCAUUCCUCCGCGAAUCGCAAGCACAGAUGAACGAAGUUAUGUGACAAGGAGAAGUGGCGGAAGGGCAGAGAAAGGAUUCAUAGGGCAGCUAAUGCUGACAACAUAUGCAUUCUGAGGUUCGUGUUGCGGGUUUGUGUCGUUUGUGAAUUGGGUGCAGGAAAGGAUGGUGUUAAUGGGGGUGACUUGUUUAUUUCAGGCUGUGCUUCUGUACUCUUUUGAAGGGUGAAGAGUACUCUCCGUUGGUUCAUCAGGGUUGGCGCCGGUUUGCUUAGAUGUCGAGUGCUCGAUGAUGAAGCAAUUAGGUUUCAGCGAUAUCAAUCGCGGAAUGUGAAGCACUGCUGUUGAGGAUUACAUCACCCUUUGAAUCUUUCAUAGAUUAGGCGCGGCUGUUCACUUGUACUGUGCGUUAACUUGGUGGACUGAUUUUAUGGUAGGAUAUGAUUCCCGUUGACACACUGUUUCACUCCAUGCACUGGACAUAUCUCAGGUUUCGUUAUAGCUGUGACUAGAGCAUUGUUGAAUGUAAGCAACUAAGGAUCUCGACAGGGGCAUGGACCAUAGCAGAUGCUGAGAGCAUGUAAAAAUGUGUAACAUGCAAGUCAUGCUUAACUACGGGAUGGAAGGUGUUUAGCGAGGCAUGAGAACGUUGCCUGGAGAGCAUCACCAGACACCUCCAGUUCGAAAUACCCCUUCUGCUACACUGAUGUCUAUUGAUGUGCAUCUACAGCAAAUUAAUCAACUAGAAGACAAAGUAUUAGACGAACAUGCCAUUAACAUGUGGAAGGAGAUAUUAUGUGAUAAGACCGUGCCUUAUAAAAGCAGCGCUCUUGAUUCGACUGGAGGAUCUCAAGAUAGGUAGUUGAGGAAGGGCCAGGAAACUUCUUCUACCUCUUUCUGCUCCAGUUUUCCUUCGCCAGUAUUCUCCAUAUGCAGUUGCUCAUCGUUCAACUGCCAACGUCAGAUCUAAGCUGCGUAUGAUCUUGAACCUCUUCAAACGCACCUUUUUUCACUUCGUCCUCGUGUUCGUCUUCCAAAGAUCUUCUGGGCGGGCGUGGUCAUUUUCAGUCUUUUAAAGUAGACCUCUGGGCAUUGGAAGUUAAUCAUAGGACUCUUGCUUUGCUCACUCAUACAUUGAUUCAACUUGCAAAAAAAUGAGGACGAAUAGAUCCUGCAGAAUUCGAGUGCUAUUCCUUAUUGAACAGCUGACAGCUUGGUAUUACAUUCAAAGGCUCCACCGAUCAUACUGAAAAUAUUCUCAUCGACAUCAUCACCAGUGCCGUACUCAAUUAGAUUCUUCCUUCAGCAUUACGCUCGGAAGGAAGAAAAAGCAUAUCAGGAUAUCCUGAGACGACACUUACUUUCUGAUAGUUCGUGUCGGAUAGCUGGCAGGUGUGUUGAAUCUCCUUUUGCCAACCACUAUUCGUCCAUUUCAGUUAAGUUGUUCGAAUUGUUUU